rnacentral:misc_RNA from 1 species
AAGAGAGCUUCGGCUCCUUUCAUGUUUUCACCAAUAUGCUGUCUCCAUCCUUGUUGCUUCCACCUCUUGAGGGCGGGAUACAUCAAUCCUGCUCGAAGGUGGUGGAGGGUUUGUUUGAAAAUCUAUUGUUUGGUGCCAUGCCUUGUCUGAAUAAGAGGGAAAUGCUUUA